rnacentral:rRNA from 1 species
UGGGGAAUAUUGGACAAUGGGCGCAUGCCUGAUCCAGCCAUGCCGCGUGAGUGAUGAAGGCCCUAGGGUUGUAAAGCUCUUUCACCGGUGAAGAUAAUGACGGUAACCGGAGAAGAAGCCCCGGCUAACUUCGUGCCAGCAGCCGCGGUAAUACGAAGGGGGCUAGCGUUGUUCGGAUUUACUGGGCGUAAAGCGCACGUAGGCGGACUAUUAAGUCAGGGGUGAAAUCCCGGGGCUCAACCCCGGAACUGCCUUUGAUACUGGUAGUCUUGAGUUCGAGAGAGGUGAGUGGAAUUCCGAGUGUAGAGGUGAAAUUCGUAGAUAUUCGGAGGAACACCAGUGGCGAAGGCGGCUCACUGGCUCGAUACUGACGCUGAGGUGCGAAAGCGUGGGGAGCAAACAGG